GACGUAGGGUGCGAGCGUUGUCCGGACUUAUUGGGCGUAAAGAGCUCGUAGGCGGCUCGUCGCGUCGACCGUGAAAACUUGGGGCUUAACCCUAAGCUUGCGGUUGAUACGGGCGGGCUAGAGUUCGGUAGGGGAGACUGGAAUUCCUGGUGUAGCGGUGAAAUGCGCAGAUAUCAGGAGGAACACCGGUGGCGAAGGCGGGUCUCUGGGCCGAUACUGACGCUGAGACGCGAAAGCGUGGGGAGCGAACAGG
rnacentral:rRNA from 1 species